rnacentral:tRNA from 1 species
GGAGCUUCGGCGGGGACCGGGGGCCGGGGCGCUUCCGGUGUCCCGUCGGAGGUUCUGUCCCGACAGGCUUCC